UACGGAGGGUGCAAGCGUUGUUCGGAAUUACUGGGCGUAAAGGGCGCGUAGGCGGCCAGGAAAGUCCGGUGUGAAAGCCCGGGGCUUAACCCCGGAAGUGCAUUGGAAACUUCCUGGCUUGAGUUCGGAAGAGGAGGGCAGAAUUCCCGGUGUAGGAGUGAAAUCCGUAGAUAUCGGGAGGAAAACCAGUGGCGAAGGCGGCCCUCUGGGACGAAACUGACGCUGAGGCGCGAAAGCGUGGGGAG
rnacentral:rRNA from 1 species